rnacentral:rRNA from 1 species
GACGUAGGGCGCGAGCGUUUGUCCGGAUUUAUUGGGCGUAAAGAGCUCGUAGGCGGCUUGUCGCGUCGUCUGUGAAAUCCCGCGGCUCAACUGCGGGCUGCAGUCGAUACGGGCAGGCUGGAGUUCGGUAGGGGAGACUGGAAUUCCUGGUGUAGCGGUGAAAUGCGCAGAUAUCAGGAGGAACACCGGUGGCGAAGGCAGGUCUCUGGGCCAUAACUGACGCUGAGAAGCGAAAGCAUGGGGGAGCGAACAGG